rnacentral:rRNA from 1 species
AUUGAACGCUGGCGGCAGGCCUAACACAUGCAAGUCGAGCGGAUGAAGGGAGCUUGCUCCUGGAUUCAGCGGCGGACGGGUGAGUAAUGCCUAGGAAUCUGCCUGGUAGUGGGGGAUAACGUCCGGAAACGGGCGCUAAUACCGCAUACGUCCUGAGGGAGAAAGUGGGGGAUCUUCGGACCUCACGCUAUCAGAUGAGCCUAGGUCGGAUUAGCUAGUUGGUGGGGUAAAGGCCUACCAAGGCGACGAUCCGUAACUGGUCUGAGAGGAUGAUCAGUCACACUGGAACUUAGACACGGUCCAGAGUCCUACGGGAGGCAGCAGUGGGGAAUAUUGGACAAUGGGCGAAAGUCUGAUCCAGCCAUGCCGCGUGUGUGAAGAAGGUCUUCGGAUUGUAAAGUACUUUAAGUUGGGAGGAAGGGCAGUAAGUUAAUACCUUGCUGUUUUGACGUUACCAACAGAAUAAGCACCGGCUAACUUCGUG